rnacentral:rRNA from 1 species
UACGUAGGGACCGAGCGUUGUCCGGAAUCACUGGGCGUAAAGGGCGCGUAGGCGGUUAUAUGAGUGUGAUGUGAAAGCCCCGGGCUCAACCUGGGAAGUGCAUCGCAAACGAUAUAACUGGAGUAGGUGAGAGGGUGGCGGAAUUUCCGGUGUAGCGGUGAAAUGCGUAGAGAUCGGAAGGAACGUCAAUGGCGAAGGCAGCCACCUGGCACCAUACUGACGCUGAGGCGCGAAAGCGUGGGGAGCGAACAGG